rnacentral:rRNA from 1 species
CAAGAAAUAACAAUACAAGGCAGUUAAAAUGCUUUGUAAUUGGAAUGAUAGAAAUUUAAACACUUUUUAAAGUAUCAAUUGGAGGGCAAGUCUGGUGCCAGCAGCCGCGGUAAUUCCAGCUCCAAUAGCGUAUAUUAAAAUUGUUGCAGUUAAAAAGCUCGUAGUUGAAUUUCUGUUAAAAAUAACCGGUCUGCUUUUAAUAAAAGUGGUAUCUUGGUGUGUUUUUAGCAAUAAUGUCCUUUGAAAUGUUUUUUACUUUAUUGUAAUAAAUAAUAUUCAGGAUUUUUACUUUGAGAAAAUUAGAGUGUUUCUAGCAGGCUAACGCUUUGAAUACUGCAGCAUGGAAUAAUAAGAUAGGAUUUUAGUUCUACAUUAUUGGUUUUAAGAACUAAAUUAAUGAUUGAUAGGGACAGUUGGGGGCAUUUGUAUUUAACUGUCAGAGGUGAAAUUCUUAGAUUUGUUAAAGACAAACUACUGCGAAAGCAUUUGCCAAAGAUGUUUUCAUUAAUCAAGAACGAAAGUUAGGGGAUCGAAGACGAUCAGAUACCGUCGUAGUCUUAACUAUAAACUAUGCCGACU